rnacentral:rRNA from 1 species
GCACAAGCAGUGGAGUAUGUGGUUUAAUUCGACGCAACGCGAAGAACCUUACCAAGUCUUGACAUCCCUUGACAGACAUAGAAAUGUGUUUUCUCUUCGGAGCAAGGAGACAGGUGGUGCAUGGUUGUCGUCAGCUCGUGUCGUGAGAUGUUGGGUUAAGUCCCGCAACGAGCGCAACCCUUAUGGUCAGUUACUACGCAAGAGGACUCUGGCCAGACUGCCGUUGACAAAA